CCUGACAACCCAGGCCAAAAGUCCAGGGAACUUAAUUUGCUAGCACUAUAUUUAACCCUGUAACUUUCCAAGACACCAUAAAACCUGUACAUGAUGGGUACUGUUUUACUCGGAAGACUUUGCUGAACACAAAUAUUAGUAUUUCAAAAUACACAAUGUGAAAAAACUGAAAAAUGUGACAUGCUAUAUUUGACCCUGUAACUUCCUAAAACACCAUAACUCCUGUACAUAGGGGUACUGUUUUACAUUUGAGACAUGGCUGAAUACAGAUAUGUGUAUUUUAUUGCAGUAAAAGCAAACCGUACUAUGACAUUCACAGUUAGAAUGUCACGUAGAACCAAAAAAAAAA